GACGAACGCUGGCGGCGUGCUUAACACAUGCAAGUCGAACGGAAAGGCCCUGCUUUCGUGGGGUGCUCGAGUGGCGAACGGGUGAGUAACACGAGAGUAACCUGCUCUUGACUUUGGGAUAACUUCAGGAAACUGGGGCUAAUACCGGAUAGGAGCUCACGCUGCAUGGUGGGGGUUGGAAAGUUUCGGCGGUUGGGGAUGGACUCGCGGCUUAUCAGCUUGUUGGUGGGGUAGUGGCUUACCAAGGCCUUGACGGGUAGCCGGCCUGAGAGGGUGACCGGCCACAUUGGGACUGAGAUACGGCCCAGACUCCUACGGGAGGCAGCAGUGGGGAAUAUUGCACAAUGGGCGGAAGCCUGAUGCAGCAACGCCGCGUGCGGGAUGACGGCCUUCGGGUUGUAAACCGCUUUCGCCUGUGACGAAGCGUAAGUGACGGUAAUGGGUAAAGAAGCACCGGCUAACUACGUG
rnacentral:rRNA from 1 species